UUGAAUUAUAAGAUCUAAAAAAUUUUUAUUUCCCGAAGUGAAUAGAUCUAACUAAAGUUAGUAUAUUAGUAAAAUCUUAAUAAUGUAGCAAAAUUAUAUAUGUAAGCUUUAGUUAGGGGUGAUAGGCCAUUCAAUUUUCAUUGCUAACUGGAUUAAAUUAAAAUAUAUUAAGUAUAAAAGUCAAGCUCAAAAAGCUAAGCUUUUGAGCUUCUUCUAAAUUUUGUUUUGUUUUAGUCCCGACUCUAUUAAUAUAAAAUUGGUUACGAGUUUUAAAAUAAUAAAUUUACUAGCUUUUUAGUUUAAUAAGUUUAUAGGAACGGAGAUUUAUUUUUGUUUUUUAAUAAUGUUCAAAUGAGUAUAUAUAAUUAAUAAAUAAUAAGGAACUCGGCAAAAUUUUUCUCAACUGUUUAUCAAAAACAUAGCUAUUUGAUUUUAUAAGUAGUUCGCCCUGCCCGGUGAUAAAUAAUUUAACGGCCGCAGUACACUGACUGUGCAAAGGUAGCAUAAUCAAUUGGCUUUUAAUUGAAGUCGUGCAUGAAGGGGUACAUGGGGAAAAGCUGUUUCAUUAUUUGUUAUUAGAAUUUAAUUAGCAGGUGAAAAUGCCUGCGAGGUUUAAACAUUAGACGAGAAGACCCUAUAAAUUUUAACCAAUUAUUUAGGUAAAUAAACCCUUAAAGUUUUUGUUGGGGCAACAGAUUAACAAAACGUUUAGAUAAAUUUAAUUAACUAUAUUUUUUUAUCGACCGAGUUAUACUAAAUAUAAAUAAAUUACUAUAGGGAUAACAGCAUAAUUUUAAUAUUAAGAUUGUGACCUCGAUGUUGGAUUAGGAGCUUAGUGAAUUAACAAUUUACCUAAGGGGUUCUGUUCGAACUGAUGUACCU
rnacentral:rRNA from 1 species